AUGUCUUCUCAGAAUGGAGCCAUGAAAACCACUGAGGAAGUGGCACUUCAGAUUGUGUUGCUUUGUCAGUUUGGGAUAGGGACUAUGGCUAACAUUCUUCUGUUUGUCCAUAAUUUCUCUCCACUUUUGACUGGAUGUCAGCUGAGACCCAAAGAAGUGAUUUGUGCUAACAUGGCUGUGUCCAGCAUCUUAAUUCUAUUCAUGACUGUGUUUCCAAACAAUGUGUUUGUUGCUCAAAGGAAUCCACUGAAUGACCUUCAAUGUAAACUUGAGUACUUUGUAUACAUGGUAGCAAGAAGCACAAACUUGUUUUCCACCUGUGUCUUGAGCACCUAUCAGUUUGUCACUCUUGUUCCUGGUAAUUUCAGUGAGCUGAUGGUCAGGGGAAGAAUCCCCAAGGUCAUAACCUAUUCCUGUUGUAGUUGUUGGUUGUUUGGUGUCUUAUAUAAUGUCUACAUUCCAAUGAAAGUCAGUGGUCCACAGAACAGACAUAAUAAAACCAGCACUAAAAGUAAGUGGGUCUGUUUUACAUCUGGCUUCAGUGUCGGCAUUGUGUUCUUGUCAUUUGCCCAUGAUGCCAUAUUUAUCAGCAUCAUGGUCUGGGCCAGUGUCUCCAUGGUACUUCUCCUGUAUAGACACUACCAGAGACUGCAGUACAUUUUCCCUCCCCAUCAAGGCAACAGAGGCUAUGCUGAGAUCAGAGCAGCCCAUAGCAUUGUGAUGCUUGUGGUCACAUUUGUAAGCUUUCAUCUUCUACACUGUAUUUGCUUUAUUCUGUUUUUGUAGACUCCCAUCUGUGGUUCAGGCAUAUAGGUAAAGUUUUAACUUCAAGCUUCCCCACUAUUUCUCCCUUGCUGUUGAUCUUUAGGGAUCCUAGUUAUCAUUGUUCUCUGAUAUUCAACUAUAGAAAGCCAGUCAUUUAA
rnacentral:lncRNA from 1 species